rnacentral:lncRNA from 1 species
CAACUCGCUAUCAUAUUCCGAAAUCUGGUGAUAUACAAGUUAGUUUAAUUGUAAAAUUAUUAUAAGUUACAUUAGCAAUAUUAAUAUUAUACCUAUUAUUACCACCACAACAUUUUAGGAAAUACGUCAAAUCGCUUCUCCAAUUUCUGUCCUCCACCGUCAGGGGGAAGUACAAUCGUGUUUGGUCAAUGUGGAAUCUAGAAGAGAAUCACCAACAUCUAGAUCCUCACAAGCUGGAUACGAUUUGAGAGAUAGACAAAUUCGCCCUGAUUCUUCAGCACAACCAAUGCCACAAUCUUCAUUCUUCUAUUCAGGAACAGUUACUAACGAAGAAAACAUACAUAAGAGUCCAAGCAGAAAACGCCGUCGUAUCUCUUCACAUAGAAUUGAUACUUUGCCAUCUGGUCAAAUACCUCCCACAUCUUGGGAUUCACAAUCUACUGAAAGAAUGGUACACGGAAGAAAUGCAUCACGUAUUGCUAUUCCAGAACAGUCUUCUAGCUGUAGAAAUAG